UGGGAACUCCUGUUAUGUUUUAAUUUUUUAAUAAAAAUAUAUAUUAAUUCAUUACAUUUUCAGAAAGCUAACAACCAUGUAUAAUAUAACACAUACUUUUUGGUAAAGAGAUAUUUUGCAAGAAGGUUAAAAAAUAUUCAUUGACGUAUUUCACAAUAAAACAUUUUAAGUGAGGGAAAAAACUAUGUUUAUGAAAUGAAUAUAACAAUGAAGAAUACAGGUUUGGAGUGAGGAUGGAAUUUUAAUGGGUUAAGAGGAAGAAAGAAUUCCAGAUGAGAACCUGGACAAGGGCAAAGGCAGAGCAGUGACUGCAGGGUGAGAGUCAGGGAGAAACCCACACUCUGGGAGAAGCACUCGCUCACCCAGAGGGGCGGGUGAAGCAGGCAGCUUUGGAUCAGAGGCAAGGCUUGGUUCUGGGCCCAGCUCUAGUGUCUAUCUCAUAGGGCUGUGAGAAAGGUUAAACAGGAUGCAGCAAAAGCCUGAGCUCAGUACAGCACUCAAACCCUGGAACUUCCUCCAUAAGUGGCCCUUGCUGCAGCAGCCACGGAGGUAGGGGAGAGUGGAGGAGAGAGGCAAUGGCAGCUUGGUACCAGAGUCUCGCAGACCUUGAAAGACUUCAGACUUUAUCCUGAAGACAGUGAAAAGCCAGGGGCAGUGUAUUAGUAAGAAAAGAAGUUGAGGAGGCUAUGCUAGAACUGCAGACAGAUGUGAGACCUUUCUAAAGGGGGGCCGGUCAGGGUUUGAUGACAUAAAAUGGGGGGAGGGACUGGCAGAAGACACUGGUAUUUUAAAUCUGAAUGAAUUAAAAGGGGAAGGUGCUAUUAGCAUAAAAAGAAAAGGGAGCAUGAAAAGUUACUUUGGAGGCAACAUCUGAUUUAUAAGAAGGAAAAUAACAUCAUUGGUCCAAAGCCAUCCCCCAGUCCAGCCACCAGUAAAGUCUUGUGUCAAUGCUGGGAACCAUGAUGAGGUUAAUGUGUGCUUGGCCAGAGGACUCCCAAAUCCUGACCUUCUCAGCCAUCCCUCUCUACACGGUCCUGUUGACUGACAAAGCAAAACUUCAGUGCUGACUAGGUCCCUGAUCCCUAAACCCAGUGCAAUCUCUGGCAGGGCAAUGCUCAGGAAGCUGCCUAUAAAGAAAGCCAAGACAAACUGAACUCUGUCUAAAACGAGGGAAGUGGAGAAGGAAGACAAAAAAAAAAGAGGAGGACAAGGUGUUUUAACUUUCUGGAUUGGUACUUUAUUUUACACGUAUGGUUUUAUGUAUUUUUUGUAACAUCCCAAAGAGCACAGCAAUGAAGGACAGAAGCCCUGAUAUCUGAUUCCUUGGGUGUGAAGGUUGGUUCUUCAAUCUCUAUGCUGUCUGAUUUUGGUCAAAUUACUCUAACAUCUUUCUUCCCUACUUCUCUCUUCUAUAAAAUGGGUAUCUUAAUUGCACCUAGCUCAUGGUGGGUGGUGAAUUUUCAUCAGCUUACUUCAUAUAUAAAGCACAGAGGAUGAUGGCUAGAAUAUACCAAGCACUCAAGGAGACAGUAUCAAUGUCAUAGAUAUACUAAUCUAUUCCUUUGUGAUUUCUCACAUGGCUUUUAUGCUCACAAGUCUACAUCCACAGAAAAACUAAAAUGUAUUCCCUUAUACAUUGUUUUAUUUUCCUCAUUAUUUAAUUACUUAUUCACUUUUUAUGUUUAACUCUUUAAUUCACAAAAAUUUAUUUCAGUAUAUGGUAAGAGGUAUGCUAACUUGAUUUCUCCCUAAAGUAUUAAGUGUUCCCCCUUGUCAAUUAAUCCACCUUAUCUCAUUGGUUUGUAUAGUCCCUUUAUCAUUUACCAAGUUUUUACAUACACUUGGAUCUACUUUUAGAUUAACCAUUCUAUCCUGCUGUUCGGCCCUUUGAUUUCUAUCCUAGCGCCAUACUGCAAAAAUGAGUAUAGUUUUACUGUUUACUAGGUCAUUUCUGAUCUCAUCAUUUCUGUUUUCAGCUAUGAAGUAGUCCAGGUGAUUAUAUAAACCAUUUUAAUGUUAAAAAUAUAAUUGGGGUUUUGAGUAGGAUUAUACCCUUUCUAAAUUGAUUUAGGGGGAUCAGACACUUUUGAACUAUUUUGUUUCUUCAUUUACAAAAUCUUUUAUAUCUCUCUAAAGAUUUUAGUUUUUUCACAAAGCUUUCCACGUAUUUCUUAAUAUGAUUAGCAGAUAACAUUUUGUUACUAGCUGUGAAAAGAAUUUUUUCCCCUGGUACAAUGAGAUGCAGGAGGGAACAUGUUAUGGUCACCUUCCUCACCUUAACCUGAGUUUUUUCUUUCACAGAAUCUCUGUGUAUACUUUUUUGUAAUAUAUUUAUCUGAAUCAGGAACUACUUGCCAAACAUCAUUUAAACGUGCAAUAAGAAUAUUGUUUCUAAAAGUCAUGUUUCCUAUUAAUUCAACACAUUUUCAUGGUGUCUCAACUAUACCCAUUCUUCCUUGCAGACAGAAAUGGUCUCUGUUGGAGAGCUGACAUUAGAGAACUGAUUUCAUCACAGCUUGAUAAGUAUUACGGCGAAUGGCUGGGGUCAAUAUGAGGGUUUACUCUGGGGUCUGAAAUCCUAUGAACACAGCAGGUGAUCUCUAGGAAGUGACUCUGAGCUGAGUUCUGAGAGAUGAACAAAAAUUAACUAGGCAACCUUUGGAUGCUUCGGACAAAGAAGUGGGCCAAAGUGCAGGAUGUUCAAGGAAUUAAGAUAGGACUUCUGUGGCUGUAACACAGAAAUGGGGAGAGAGGUGGGAAGUAAACUGAGAUAAGUCACUGAGAUAUACUACACACACACGUAUAUAAUGGUAAUACCAUAGCUAUAUCUAUAUCUACUCUCUCAGAAAUCAGGAUUGCUCCCAUGGUUAUAGCGCCACAGUCCUUGAGAAAACAGCUCUGUGACACUUAAUGUUCUUUAGCCUGGAGGGAGGAGAAUUUAGCUCUUCUCCCAGAUUUCCCAGCAGAGUUUGUUAUCCUAAUCAAAGCUAGGCCAGGCUGGUAUCUGCUGUGAGAUGGAAAGGUAUCCAAGGCAUUAGUGACUUAUGGUCCUGUUUGCAGUUCUCUUGUUAGUGCUUUUAUGAGCAAACCUCAGCCUAUUUUGUAAAAGUAGGUUUUUUGUGGAGCAAUCAUACAGCCCCUUCUGUGAAACUUCAAACUGGUAAAUGCCAAACAGGUUUAUGGAAGGUUGAGUCAAAAACAGAAUCUGAAAGACACAGCACAUCCUCUAACUGAUCCAAGAGUAUGAGGUAGUAUUUCUCAAUUUUGGCACUACUGACACUUGGGACCACGUAAUUCUUUAUCUUGGGGGCUGUCCUGUGCCUUGUAGGGUGUCUAGCAGCAACAUCCUGGCCGCUACCCACCAAGUGCCAGUAGGACUGUCCUCCAAUUGUGACACCCAAACAGCCUCUGACGGGCAGAAUCACCCAGGUUAAGAAUCACUCAGUUGCAGAGGCCAUAAAAGUACUGUUCUUCUCAUUUAAAACUGUUAUACUCAUUUUUGCUUUGCCAUGAAUUCUCUUAGACACUGUAACAUUUAACAAAUGAGAUUCAGAUUUAUCACAAAGCACUGUCAUGUAUAUCUUUUAGUCACUUAUUUCAGCCAAGAUUUAUUAAACAUCUGUUUUGUGUAGGCACUACAUUGGUUGCUAGAGCCACAAGGUCAAAUGAGAUAACCUUGCAAGGAGCCUAGUCUUCAGGGAAGACAAAAAUAAGUGAGUAGUACAUCAUAGGCGCCUGAUAGAAAUGUGGCAGAAGUCUACUGAGGCUUGAGAAGAAAGGUCAGAAACCCAGGUGAGGGGUGGAGCUGUCUGGGAAUGAUAAGACUCAGAAGUGGAACCUGACACAUGGUGUUUUUCAGACUGAUGGAUUUGGGAGAUGGUUGGAGAGCUAUAAGACUUGCAACAAUAUUCUGAGACAUUUAUUAUGAUCCUCUCUGUUUUAACCAUGAGAAUACUGCAAAGUUAAACAUUUAGCUUAAGGUCACUUAGCUAGGUCGCAACAUUAACCUACGAAUUUAACUAUUCCCUGGAUUAACAGUGUUUGCCUUUUCCAACUGGAUACAAUGGAAUAAGAGAGAUUCUGGGAAUAUUCUUGACAAACAGUCCUCUUAAAACAAAACAAAAUUGUAAGGACAAAAAUAAUACUCUCUUAUAUUAAUAUAUAUUUCACAAGGCACAUUCACAGACAUUAUCUCUUAUGAUCCUUCCACCAAUCCUGCCAGUUCCACGGUAGACAUGCAUAUCAACUUUGCUUUAUAGGGAGGAAGGACACUCAGGGGGUUUAGGUACAGAACUCACAAAGCACGCUGCCUUUCUCAGCACGAACACACAGGUCCCAUGGGGCAAUGGACUGCUUCGUUGUAUUUUAGCUUGUCAUUAUAUUUUAGCACCAGGAUACUGCCAUCAUUUUGCUAUCCUUGAUAGCAGUUCAAUUUCUGCACUUACAGCUGAAAUUACAGUGUCUCAAAGCUAAAUUUAAAAGAGCAAUUUACUGCUGUCCCUAUGAAGAAAGAGAACCAAUCAAUGUAAUAAAAAAAAAUUAAGAUCA